rnacentral:rRNA from 1 species
GACGAACGCUGGCGGCGUGCUUAACACAUGCAAGUCGAACGAAGAGCGAUGGAAGCUUGCUUCUAUCAAUCUUAGUGGCGAACGGGUGAGUAACGCGUAAUCAACCUGCCCUUCAGAGGGGGACAACAGUUGGAAACGACUGCUAAUACCGCAUACGAUCUGACCUCGGCAUCGAGGAUAGAUGAAAGGUGGCCUCUAUUUAUAAGCUAUCACUGAAGGAGGGGAUUGCGUCUGAUUAGCUAGUUGGAGGGGUAACGGCCCACCAAGGCGAUGAUCAGUAGCCGGUCUGAGAGGAUGAACGGCCACAUUGGGACUGAGACACGGCCCAGACUCCUACGGGAGGCAGCAGUGGGGAAUCUUCCGCAAUGGACGAAAGUCUGACGGAGCAACGCCGCGUGAGUGAUGACGGCCUUCGGGUUGUAAAGCUCUGUUAAUCGGGACGAAAGGCCUUCUUGCGAAUAGUAGAAGGAUUGACGUACCGGAAUAGAAAGCCACGCA